GACGAACGCUGGCGGCGUGCUUGACACAUGCAAGUCGAACGGAAAGGCCCUGCUUUUGUGGGGUGCUCGAGUGGCGAACGGGUGAGUAACACGUGAGUAACCUGCCCUUGACUUUGGGAUAACUUCAGGAAACUGGGGCUAAUACCGGAUAGGAGCUCCUGCUGCGUGGUGGGGGUUGGAAAGUUUCGGCGGUUGGGGAUGGACUCGCGGCUUAUCAGCUUGUUGGUGGGGUAGUGGCUUACCAAGGCUUUGACGGGUAGCCGGCCUGAGAGGGUGACCGGCCACAUUGGGACUGAGAUACGGCCCAGACUCCUACGGGAGGCAGCAGUGGGGAAUAUUGCACAAUGGGCGGAAGCCUGAUGCAGCAACGCCGCGUGCGGGAUGACGGCCUUCGGGUUGUAAACCGCUUUCGCCUGUGACGAAGCGUGAGUGACGGUAAUGGGUAAAGAAGCACCGGCUAACUACGUG
rnacentral:rRNA from 1 species